AAAAGACUCCCAGAGGGAAACCCUGCAGCAACAGCAAGUCAGAACAGGUGCUCUGCAGCAGACCCAAGGAGAGACUCAAAUGUCACGACCUGCGACUGGAAGCAACUGCCGGAACUGGGAUGAUGGAGGCAUAAAUAGCCUGCCUUUAAGACAAGAGACCGGAACGAUGGGCACUGCAAACCCCAUAAGAAAAACGCUUCGGAAAUGAAUUCCCAAGCAAGAGCUCCUGAUGAAGCCCACAUGACUUCCGCAACAGCGAGGAUGGAAACAGAUGCGAUCUGAAACCGAGUAUGACGCACAAGACCUGAAACGCAUCUGCACUUUAAGCUGCAACUGCAAGUCAAGAAGAACCAGGAUGACAAA